ACGAACGCUGGCGGCGUGCCUAAUACAUGCAAGUCGAACGCUUCUUUUUCCACCGGAGCUUGCUCCACCGGAAAAAGAGGAGUGGCGAACGGGUGAGUAACACGUGGGUAACCUGCCCAUCAGAAGGGGAUAACACUUGGAAACAGGUGCUAAUACCGUAUAACAAUCGAAACCGCAUGGUUUUGAUUUGAAAGGCGCUUUCGGGUGUCGCUGAUGGAUGGACCCGCGGUGCAUUAGCUAGUUGGUGAGGUAACGGCUCACCAAGGCGACGAUGCAUAGCCGACCUGAGAGGGUGAUCGGCCACAUUGGGACUGAGACACGGCCCAAACUCCUACGGGAGGCAGCAGUAGGGAAUCUUCGGCAAUGGACGAAAGUCUGACCGAGCAACGCCGCGUGAGUGAAGAAGGUUUUCGGAUCGUAAAACUCUGUUGUUAGAGAAGAACAAGGAUGAGAGUAACUGUUCAUCCCUUGACGGUAUCUAACCAGAAAGCCACGGCUAACUACGUGCCAGCAGCCGCGGUAAUACGUAGGUGGCAAGCGUUGUCCGGAUUUAUUGGGAGUAACGCGAGCGCAGGCGGGGUCUUAAGUCUGAUGUGAAAGCCCCCGGCUCAACCGGGGAGGGUCAUUGGAAACUGGGAGACUUGAGUGCAGAAGAGGAGAGUGGAAUUCCAUGUGUAGCGGUGAAAUGCGUAGAUAUAUGGAGGAACACCAGUGGCGAAGGCGGCUCUCUGGUCUGUAACUGACGCUGAGGCUCGAAAGCGUGGGGAGCGAACAGGAUUAGAUACCCUGGUAGUCCACGCCGUAAACGAUGAGUGCUAAGUGUUGGAGGGUUUCCGCCCUUCAGUGCUGCAGCUAACGCAUUAAGCACUCCGCCUGGGGAGUACGACCGCAAGGUUGAAACUCAAAGGAAUUGACGGGGGCCCGCACAAGCGGUGGAGCAUGUGGUUUAAUUCGAAGCAACGCGAAGAACCUUACCAGGUCUUGACAUCCUUUGACCACUCUAGAGAUAGAGCUUCCCCUUCGGGGGCAAAGUGACAGGUGGUGCAUGGUUGUCGUCAGCUCGUGUCGUGAGAUGUUGGGUUAAGUCCCGCAACGAGCGCAACCCUUAUUGUUAGUUGCCAUCAUUUAGUUGGGCACUCUAGCAAGACUGCCGGUGACAAACCGGAGGAAGGUGGGGAUGACGUCAAAUCAUCAUGCCCCUUAUGACCUGGGCUACACACGUGCUACAAUGGGAAGUACAACGAGUCGCAAAGUCGCGAGGCUAAGCUAAUCUCUUAAAGCUUCUCUCAGUUCGGAUUGUAGGCUGCAACUCGCCUACAUGAAGCCGGAAUCGCUAGUAAUCGCGGAUCAGCACGCCGCGGUGAAUACGUUCCCGGGCCUUGUACACACCGCCCGUCACACCACGAGAGUUUGUAACACCCGAAGUCGGUGAGGUAACCUUUUGGAGCCAGCCGCCUAAGGUGGGAUAGAUGAUUGGGGUG
rnacentral:rRNA from 1 species